rnacentral:rRNA from 1 species
CGUACACUCCUGCGGGAGGCAGCAGUGGGGAAUAUUGGACAAUGGGCGCAAGCCUGAUCCAGCCAUGCCGCGUGAGUGAUGAAGGCCCUAGGGUUGUAAAGCUCUUUCACCGGUGAAGAUAAUGACGGUAACCGGAGAAGAAGCCCCGGCUAACUUCGUGCCAGCAGCCGCGGUAAUACGAAGGGGGCUAGCGUUGUUCGGAUUUACUGGGCGUAAAGCGCACGUAGGCGGACUAUUAAGUCAGGGGUGAAAUCCCGGGGCUCAACCCCGGAACUGCCUUUGAUACUGGUAGUCUUGAGUUCGAGAGAGGUGAGUGGAAUUCCGGGUGUAGAGGUGAAAUUCGUAGAUAUUCGGAGGAACACCAGUGGCGAAGGCGGCUCACUGGCUCGAUACUGACGCUGAGGUGCGAAAGCGUGGGGAGCAAACAGGAUUAGAAACCCCAGUAGUCCCAUGA